GGACCGAUGGUGUAGUUGGUUAUCACGCCUGUCUAACACUUGUGUGUGCACAGGCGGUCCUCAGUUCGAGUCUGGGUCGGUUCA